ACGCGAUCGAAGAGUUUGAUCAUGGCUCAGGACGAACGCUGGCGGCGUGCUUAACACAUGCAAGUCGAACGGUGAAGCCUUCGGGUGGAUCAGUGGCGAACGGGUGAGUAACACGUGGGCAAUCUGCCCUGCAUUCUGGGACAAGCCCUGGAAAACGGGGUCUAAUACCGGAUAUUACCUGUCCCCGCAUGGGGACGGGUGGAAAGCUCCGGCGAUGCAGGAUGAGCCCGCGGCCUAUCAGCUUGUUGGUGGGGUGAUGGCCUACCAAGGCGACGACGGGUAGCCGGCCUGAGAGGGCGACCGGCCACACUGGGACUGAGACACGGCCCAGACUCCUACGGGAGGCAGCAGUGGGGAAUAUUGCACAAUGGGCGAAAGCCUGAUGCAGCGACGCCGCGUGAGGGAUGACGGCCUUCGGGUUGUAAACCUCUUUCAGCAGGGAAGAAGCGCAAGUGACGGUACCUGCAGAAGAAGCACCGGCUAACUACGUGCUAGCAGCCGCGGUAAU
rnacentral:rRNA from 1 species